rnacentral:rRNA from 1 species
GAUGAACGCCGGCGGCGUGCCUAAUACAUGCAAGUCGAGCGAACAGACGAGGAGCUUGCUCCUCUGACGUUAGCGGCGGACGGGUGAGUAACACGUGGAUAACCUACCUAUAAGACUGGGAUAACUUCGGGAAACCGGAGCUAAUACCGGAUAAUAUAUUGAACCGCAUGGUUCAAUAGUGAAAGACGGUUUUGCUGUCACUUAUAGACGGAUCCGCGCCGCAUUAGCUAGUUGGUAAGGUAACGGCUUACCAAGGCAACGAUGCGUAGCCGACCUGAGAGGGUGAUCGGCCACACUGGAACUGAGACACGGUCCAGACUCCUACGGGAGGCAGCAGUAGGGAAUCUUCCGCAAUGGGCGAAAGCCUGACGGAGCAACGCCGCGUGAGUGAUGAAGGUCUUCGGAUCGUAAAACUCUGUUAUUAGGGAAGAACAAAUGUGUAAGUAACUAUGCACGUCUUGACGGUACCUAAUCAGAAAGCCACGGCUAACUACGUG